rnacentral:rRNA from 1 species
GAUGAACGCUGGCGGCGUGCCUAAUACAUGCAAGUCGAGCGAACAGAUAAGGAGCUUGCUCCUUUGACGUUAGCGGCGGACGGGUGAGUAACACGUGGGUAACCUACCUAUAAGACUGGGAUAACUUCGGGAAACCGGAGCUAAUACCGGAUAACAUUUGGAACCGCAUGGUUCUAAAGUGAAAGAUGGUUUUGCUAUCACUUAUAGAUGGACCCGCGCCGUAUUAGCUAGUUGGUAAGGUAACGGCUUACCAAGGCGACGAUACGUAGCCGACCUGAGAGGGUGAUCGGCCACACUGGAACUGAGACACGGUCCAGACUCCUACGGGAGGCAGCAGUAGGGAAUCUUCCGCAGUGGGCGAAAGCCUGACGGAGCAACGCCGCGUGAGUGAUGAAGGGUUUCGGCUCGUAAAACUCUGUUAUUAGGGAAGAACAAACGUGUAAGUAACUGUGCACGUCUUGACGGUACCUAAUCAGAAAGCCACGGCUAACUACGUG